AUUGAACGCUGGCGGCCUGCCUAACACCUGCAAGUCGCGCGGAGUGUCGGUCGGGUGAGUAAUGCUUAGGAAUCUGCCUGGUACUGUUGGAUAAGGUCCAGAAACGGGCGCUAAUACCGCAUACUAUCAUCUUAGUCUAGGUCGGAUUAGCUAGUGGGUGGGGUAAAGGCCUACCAAGGCGACGAUCGGUAACUGGUCUGAGAGGAUGAUCAGUCACACUGGAACUGAGACACGGUCCAGACUCCUACGGGAGGCAGCAGUGGGGAAUAUUGGACAAUGGGCGAAAGCCUGAUCCAGCCAUGCCGCGUGGGUGAAGAAGGUCUUCGGAUGGUAAAGCACUUUAAGUUGGGAGGCGUUACCAACAGAAUAAGCACCGGCUAACUUCGUGCCAGCAGCCGCGGUAAUAC
rnacentral:rRNA from 1 species